GGGAAAUCUCAAAUUGCUUCUCAUUAUGAUUUCUUACUCAUUAAUUCAGUAAUGCUUUAUUUUAAGCAAAACUCUCAACCUUUAUAGAGAAACUUAAAUGUGAAAAGUUUCAGUAUUAAUGAAUGUUUGAAAAUACAUAUUUAUAAUGAAAAUCCAUAUUCCUGGUGUUUACUUUUUACAGAGUGUGUUACAGAAGUGUGCCUGCAAAGGAGAGAUGGGUGGAAAAGAUGAAGGUGUGAGGAUGGCCAUGACUGGCUCUGUAAUUUUCUUUCCAGUGGUUAGGAUUAGGAUUAGAGUUCAAUAGGCACUCCAUCCAGCUAGGUAAAAGGAAAGCAGGGCUCCAGCAGCUGAGAACUGUAACCCUAGAAAAGGGCACUGUUGAGCAUUCUUCAGUCUGCAGCUCUAGAAGAGAAUAAGGACUUAAGGUAGUGUAUGCUCCCCUAAUAUGAAAGCUAUUAAUCCUCAAAGUUUUAAGUGAUGCUGAGCAAAAAAUUGUACCUAUGUCUUUAGAAAGAGUGCUUUAGAUCAGAGAGUUAAAACACAGUAAGGAAGGAUUUUUACCUUUUCCAAUCCCAUAAGGAGCUGGGGUCUGGACAGCUUUAAGAUUUUCCAUAAUUUUAUGCUAGUCUAGUCAUGUGGCAUUUUCCCAGAAGAUUUAACUUAAUUUGCUGCUCUUUACAGUCAGAAGUUAUUAGCUGGACUUAGGGAACAAGGUUACUUUCCAACUUUCCCAUCCAUUUCAACCAGCUCAGCAUUGGCUUAAGCCAUAGACCUCAGUAUUUCCAGUGCUGCUGAGUUUGCUCAAAUUAGGUAUUCUAAGUAGUAGUGUUCUUUGAUAUGAACAGGUCAAGACUGGUUGUUAAAAUAAAAAAAAAAGGAAUCUAUUUAAAACAACAAAAAACAGAUUAUUUACAAGCCCUAGCCAAUAUAGAUUCUGAUUUUUAAAAGUGAUAAUUGAAUGUAAUGGCACUUCCUUUUCAAUUUAAUUAAAAAACAUAAUUUGAAUUUUAAACAUGAUAAACAAUCAUGUGAUUUUAGAUUGUUUUAAAGCACAGUGUGAUCAGGGUAUGAGAAAGCUGAGUGCCCGAUGGAAAUGUGUAUAAAGUGCCAUCACUGAAAUUUACUCUUCCCUGUCCAGCUAACACAUUUAAGAACCAUGUGCUGUACCAGACUGCCUGGAAUGGUUUAUUCUACGUAUUCUGUCUGUGCAAUAGAAGUGACUUAAAACUCAAUUAAACUGACUUUUUAUUGUUUUUUCAGACUAUGUCACUGUUCAGAUUUUAUUGUAGUCUUUUAAAUGGUGUCUAGAAUAACUAUUAUACUAACAAAGACCAGAACUAAGGGAGAAGAAAAUAUUUUUGAGAUUUAUUAAACUUAAGUUAUGCCCAGUUUCUUAGAUUUACAACUGAGAUAUGAAUGCUUUUUUUUUAGAAAAUAAAUUAUGUUAGGACUAAUAUAUUGUCACUAAUUUAACUGUAGUAUAAACAUUGUGCUAAAUAAUCUUGUUUCCUUGUAUUUGCAAACUACAUACAUUCUUUCCACCAGUAUACAAUAUCCACUAUAAUCUCUUAAAGUUUUUUUGAAGUCAAAAGAUUCUUUUUAAAAAUGAUGCCAUUUUCAGAAUAAUAUAAAUGUGUUGACCUCUAUCAUUUCCAUAUUCUAAAUUUGAAUCUGUGCAUUUCUGCAGUGUGCCUGUUUAUUUAAUAGGUGUCAGAUGAUGUUUUGCAUAGAGACAUGUGUGAUAAAGGAUUUACCCUACAAAACAAUUACAUAAGAUGUGGUGUGAUUUGAACAGUUAAGAGCGAUUUCAAGGAAACUAGAAUAUUUUCUAUGGCUCAGACAGGCCCUUUUGAUGUAUUUCCUCAUUCAAAAAAAGUAAUUUUUUAAAAAAUUAUGUUGUUUAAAGGCAAUUUUCUGUUGGUGAUGAAUAUUAUUGGCCAAAUAGAUUGUUGCUAUGGAACAUUUGCUAGCUAUGAAAAAUACAGAAAAUGAAUUAAAGAAAAUCUUAUGUUCGAUCAUUCUUGGAAGAUUCAAAAAUCUUCCAAGUAUAUCCUAAGUACACAUGAAAGUGGAAACUUUUACCUUUUUCUUCAAAGGUCAAAAUAUCUGUGUGCAUAUAAUUAAUGAAUUGUAUAAAAUCUAUUAUAUGUUAUAGCUAUAUUAUAUAUUAUAUAUAUUACAUAUUAAUAUCUCUCUGUUAGGAAACUCUCUUUCUCCUGACACUACUCCUGUAGCCAUAGCAGCACCGGACCACUCAAUAAAUAUGUGUUGAAUGAAAGAAUGCCUGAACAAAUAGAUGGAAUCAAAUUCUCUGUAAAAGAUAGAAAUUGAUUUUUAAUUAAUUGUUAUAGUUUAUAUUUAUAUUUUGGUCUUUGCUGCCUUUUUAACACUUUCUUAAUAACUUCAGCUAAGGUACAAUUUUUCCUUAAUAGUCUGCUCUAAUGCAACUGAUAUAUAUAAAUUUGGAUACUUUAUAUUACAUAUCUAAAGAAAGAUCAUGGUAAUUUUGUUAAAAUACAACCUGUAUUUCUGCUGAGGAGUAAAUUUUUAUGAUUUUCAUCAAACCCAUAAAAAUAAGUAGGCAUUAGCUUUCUGUAAAGGAUUUGAAAUCUCUCUCUCCAAAGAUUACCUAAGAUCACUUUAAGAAUGCUAUUACCAUUAACAAAUACAUUAACAUUGCAUAAUGCCUUUUAAAAGUUGAUAAUUGGUUAUUUCCAUUGAAAGAGUUACAGAGAAUUAGGACAAAAGUAGAAUACAAAUUCACCUAUCAUCCCUCUGGCAGAAAUUCAAGUCAUUUUAGUAAAGUUUCAGAUAUUUAAGCAGAUGAAAAGCAGCACAAUGGAUGCCAAAUUUUUUGCCUUAAAAAUUACUUAAUGUUAUAAAGAGAUUAGGCAGAUUUCAGGACAGAAUAGGAUAGAUAUGUAAGGAAGAUAAUCUGAUAAUUCAAUCCUAGUUACUUAUUUACCACAGGGGUCCCCAUCUUUUAAAGAACCUAAAUAUAGUGAAAUUU
rnacentral:lncRNA from 1 species